rnacentral:rRNA from 1 species
CAGACGAGGAGCUUGCUCCUCUGACGUUAGCGGCGGACGGGUGAGUAACACGUGGAUAACCUACCUAUAAGACUGGGAUAACUUCGGGAAACCGGAGCUAAUACCGGAUAAUAUAUUGAACCGCAUGGUUCAAUAGUGAAAGACGGUUUUGCUGUCACUUAUAGAUGGAUCCGCGCCGCAUUAGCUAGUUGGUAAGGUAACGGCUUACCAAGGCGACGAUGCGUAGCCGACCUGAGAGGGUGAUCGGCCACACUGGAACUGAGACACGGUCCAGACUCCUACGGGAGGCAGCAGUAGGGAAUCUUCCGCAAUGGGCGAAAGCCUGACGGAGCAACGCCGCGUGAGUGAUGAAGGUCUUCGGAUCGUAAAACUCUGUUAUUAGGGAAGAACAAAUGUGUAAGUAACUAUGCACGUCUUGACGGUACCUAAUCAGAAAGCCACGGCUAACUACGUGCCAGCAGCCGCGGUAAUACGUAGGUGGCAAGCGUUAUCCGGAAUUAUUGGGCGUAAAGCGCGCGUAGGCGGUUUUUUAAGUCUGAUGUGAAAGCCCACGGCUCAACCGUGGAGGGUCAUUGGAAACUGGAAAACUUGAGUGCAGAAGAGGAAAGUGGAAUUCCAUGUGUA